AACGAACGCUGGCGGCAUGCCUACACAUGCAAGUCGAACGAAGGCUUCGGCCUUAGUGGCGCACGGGUGCGUAACGCGUGGGAAUCUGCCCUUUGCUUCGGAAUAACUCAGGGAAACUUGAGCUAAUACCGGAUGAUGUCGCAAGACCAAAGAUUUAUCGGCAAAGGAUGAGCCCGCGUAGGAUUAGCUAGUUGGUGGGGUAAUGGCCUACCAAGGCGACGAUCCUUAGCUGGUCUGGGAGGAUGAUCAGCCACACUGGGACUGGGACACGGCCCAGACUCCUACGGGAGGCAGCAGUGGGGAAUAUUGGAAAAUGGGCGAAAGCCUGAUCCAGCAAUGCCGCGUGAGUGAUGAAGGCCUUAGGGUUGUAAAGCUCUUUUACCAGGGAUGAUAAUGACAGUACCUGGAGAAUAAGCUCCGGCUAACUCCGUGCCAGCCGCCGCAGUAAAAC
rnacentral:rRNA from 1 species